UCAUCAGUUAGUGCAGGAAAUUUUGGUUCGUUUUUUAAUAAAUUCACUGGUACUAAAGAGCCGGAGCCUGAACAAAAAACUAAGUCGAAGAAGAAAGGCGAAGCCAAGGCUUACAGUACUAUUAUGGUACCUAUUAAAGAGUCAUUAGAAAAAAGCACAAAAUUAGUAGACAAGUAUGCUAUGGACGUAGAGAGGAUCGAUACCAUGUACAACCCAUCUUCCUGGUGUGGUAAAUUCAAACUUAAAAUGAAACAGAUGUUUUGUUGUGGAAAACCAUAGUUGGAUUUGAUGAGGCGCAUAUAUACAUAUAUUUGGUAUUCUAUUGUAACCCUCCUUUCUGAGAUCAAUAUGAUGAAGCGAUUAUUGAUAUUAUGGCGUGGAUUUGAUACACUUGAAUAAACGAGCAGAAAUUGCAAAGAAAUGUUCUUGAUUAAAAAAUUGUUUUAAAGUGCAUGCAUACUUUCGUGCCACAUUACGUCGGCUACUGCUAAAGCUAAUCGGCUAAAGCUAUUGUGAUCCAUCCUACACCCAAAUGUGUAUAAUAUGCAGAUUUUAUAUUAAGUUUAUUAUUUGGGGGUAAAUAUUGGAACAUGCCGCGGCGCGUAAAUAGGCGUGCACUUUUAAGAAAUUCAAUAGACGAAUGUACAAUUUAUAUUUAAUAAAAAUCAUUUAAUAAAAUGAA